GACGAACGCUGGCGGCGUGCUUAACACAUGCAAGUCGAACGGAAAGGCCCUGCUUUUGUGGGGUGCUCGAGUGGCGAACGGGUGAGUAACACGUGAGUAACCUGUCCUUGACUUUGGGAUAACUUCAGGAAACUGGGGCUAAUACCGGAUAGGAGCUCUUGCUGCAUGGUGGGGGUUGGUAAGUUUCGGCGGUUGGGGAUGGACUCGCGGCUUAUCCGCUUGUUGGUGGGGUAGUGGCUUACCAAGGCUUUGACGGGUAGCCGGCCUGAGAGGGGGACCGGCCACAAUAGGACUGAGAUACGGCCCAGAAGCCUACGGGAGGCAGCAGGGGGGAAUAUUACACAAUAGGCGGAAGCCUGAUGCAGCAGCGCCGCGUGCGGGAUGACGGCCUUCGGGUUGUAAACCACUUUCGCCUUUGACGAGGCGUGAGUGACGGUAAUGGGUAAAGAAGCACCGGCUAACUACGUG
rnacentral:rRNA from 1 species